rnacentral:rRNA from 1 species
AUUGAACGCUGGCGGCAGGCCUAACACAUGCAAGUCGAGCGGAUGAAGGGAGCUUGCUCCUGGAUUCAGCGGCGGACGGGUGUGUAAUGCCUAGGAAUCUGCCUGGUAGUGGGGGAUAACGUCCGGAAACGGGCGCUAAUACCGCAUACGUCCUGAGGGAGAAAGUGGGGGAUCUUCGGACCUCAUGCUAUCAGAUGAGCCUAGGUCGGAUUAGCUAGUUGGUGGGGUAAAGGCCUACCAAGGCGACGAUCCGUAACUGGUCUGAGAGGAUGAUCAGUCACACUGGAACUGAGACACGGUCCAGACUACUACGGGAGGCAGCAGUGGGGAAUAUUGGACAAUGGGCGAAAGCCUGGUCCAGCCAUGCCGCGUGUGUGAAGAAGGUCUACGGAUUGUAAAGCACUUUAAGUUGGGAGGAAGGGCAGUAAGUUAAUACCUUGCUGUUUUGACGUUAACAACAGAAUAAGCACCGGCUAACUUCGUG